ACAUCUGUGUUUGUGAUUUUGUAAUUAACAACUGAUUCUAUAAGAUUAUUAAAUUUCGCACAACAGAGAACACAGCUUGGAAGCGAAUACACGAAAGAUCACCAAUACAAUCUAAUCCCCGAUCGCGAUCAAGAUCAACUCUACUUGGACUAUUUCAAGUUGAACGUUUGAUCACUCGUCGUAGACACAAAGAGGGUACAGAAUAUCUUGUCAAGUGGCAGGGGUAUCCUACUGAGCAGUCGACCUGGGAACCGGCUCAGCACAUUACAGCCAGCAUCCGACACUAGAUAGUCAACGAGAGACCUUUACCCGUGACGCCGGGGUGUCGUUUCAGUCAAGACUGAAGACUCGGGGCCUAAAGUUUUCAGUCCCGUGUCAUUUAAACGUGUUUAGAGCCUUAUUUAGGACUGACAGAGAAACUCUUCUAGGUAGAAAAGAGCUAGAACGUCUGUGUCUUCCACCUACUGGUGGUAUAACAUAGAGAAACACGGCGAAGGUACAUGUGUUGUGUUUCCGGUCAGAGCGAAACCCUUCCUGAGACAAAGGACUAAGCAAACUGUGCAUGAUGGCCGAGUCACCAAGAUAAGCAUCUCUGUGGAGUCAGUUGUGUUUCAGGCUCGCACACGAGCUUGCACCUUGGACCUGAAAUAUGUACGAUGUUUUGAACAUU